rnacentral:rRNA from 1 species
AGUGAACGCUGGCGGUAGGCCUAACACAUGCAAGUCGAACGGCAGCACAGUAAGAGCUUGCUCUUACGGGUGGCGAGUGGCGGACGGGUGAGGAAUACAUCGGAAUCUACUUUUUCGUGGGGGAUAACGUAGGGAAACUUACGCUAAUACCGCAUACGACCUACGGGUGAAAGAAGGGGAUCUUCGGACCUUGCGCGAUUGAAUGAGCCGAUGUCGGAUUAGCUAGUUGGCGGGGUAAAGGCCCACCAAGGCGACGAUCCGUAGCUGGUCUGAGAGGAUGAUCAGCCACACUGGAACUGAGACACGGUCCAGACUCCUACGGGAGGCAGCAGUGGGGAAUAUUGGACAAUGGGCGCAAGCCUGAUCCAGCCAUACCGCGUGGGUGAAGAAGGCCUUCGGGUUGUAAAGCCCUUUUGUUGGGAAAGAAAAGCAGCAGGUUAAUACCCCGCUGUUCUGACGGUACCCAAAGAAUAAGCACCGGCUAACCUCGUG